CUAUGUGUUGUUGGGUAGGGGAGCGUUCUGUAAGCCUGUGAAGGUGGCCUGUGAGGGUUGCUGGAGGUAUCAGAAGUGCGAAUGCUGACAUAAGUAACGAUAAAGCGGGUGAAAAGCCCGCUCGCCGGAAGACCAAGGGUUCCUGUCCAACGUUAAUCGGGGCAGGGUGAGUCGACCCCUAAGGCGAGGCCGAAAGGCGUAGUCGAUGGGAAACAGGUUAAUAUUCCUGUACUUGGUGUUACUGCGAAGGGGGGACGGAGAAGGCUAUGUUGGCCGGGCGACGGUUGUCCCGGUUUAAGCGUGUAGGCUGGUUUUCCAGGCAAAUCCGGAAAACCAAGGCUGAGGCGUGAUGACGAGGCACUACGGUGCUGAAGC
rnacentral:rRNA from 1 species